ncrna:Ornithorhynchus anatinus (platypus) microRNA oan-mir-15b precursor
CCUUGGACUGCUAUAGCAGCACAUCAUGGUUUGCAUGGUAUAGCCAAGAUGCGAAUCAUUAUUUGCUGCUUUAGAAAUUUAAGG